rnacentral:rRNA from 1 species
GACGAACGCUGGCGGCGUGCUUAACACAUGCAAGUCGAACGGAAAGGCCCUGCUUGUGUGGGGUGCUCGAGUGGCGAACGGGUGAGUAACACGUGAGUAACCUGCCCUUGACUUUGGGAUAACUUCAGGAAACUGGGGCUAAUACCGGAUAGGAGCUCCUGCUGCAUGGUGGGGGUUGGAAAGUUUCGGCGGUUGGGGAUGGACUCGCGGCUUAUCAGUUUGUUGGUGGGGUAGUGGCUUACCAAGGCUUUGACGGGUAGCCGGCCUGAGAGGGGGAACGGGCACAUUGGGACUGAGAUAGGGCCCAGAGUCCUAUGGGAGGCAGCAGGGGGGAAUAUUGCACAGUGGGCGGAAGCCUGAUGCAGCAACGCCGCGUGCGGGAUGACGGCCUGCGGGUUGUAAACCGCAUUAGCCUGUGACGAAGCGUGAGUGACGGUAAUGGGUAAAGAAGCACCGGCUAACUUCGUG